GCUCCCUCAUGGAGGGCUCCGGGGAAGAUGAGGCGGGUGCCGACGGGCCGCUGCAGCAGCUGGUGAAGCGGCAGCGCAAGGAGAAGCGGGAGCUGCAAGCAAAAAUUCAAGGCAUGAAAAAUGCUGUUCCCAAGAAUGAUAAGAAGAGACGAAAACAGCUGGCUGAUGAAGUUGCCAAACUAGAGGCAGAACUUGAACAGAAGCACAAGGAAGAAUUAAAGGAGUUGAAGGAAGCUUUACCUGAGCAGACUAAGACAGAUUCGAUAGCUGAUGGGGUUGCAAAUUUAGAGCUUGAAGGAGCAGAGCAACAAAUUCAGCCUCCUCGAAUAUCAAAAGCACAGAAGAGGAGGGAAAAAAAAGCUGCCUUGGAGAAAGAAAGAGAAGAAAGGAUAGCUGAAGCUGAGAUAGAAAAUUUAACGGGUGCUAGACAUCUUGAAAGUCAGAAACUUGCCUCCCUGUUGGCAGCAAGGCACCUGGAGAUUAAACAGAUCCCUUCGGAUGGCCAUUGCAUGUACAGAGCUAUCGAGGAUCAGCUCAAGGAUUGCCAGAAUUCCUGGACUGUUGCAACUCUGAGGAACCAAACAGCAAAGUAUAUGCAAAGUCACUUUGAUGACUUCCUGCCGUUUCUUACAAACCCUAAUACUGGAGACAUGUAUAGCAGAGAGGAAUUUGAGAAAUACUGUGAUGAUAUAGCAAAUACAGCUGCAUGGGGUGGUCAGCUGGAACUAAGGGCUUUGUCGCACAUUUUGCAAACACCUAUUGAAGUUGUGCAAAUGGAUUCCCCUCCCAUUGUUGUUGGUGAAGAAUAUUCAGGCAAACCAAUAAUACUUGUGUAUAUGAGACAUGCCUAUGGAUUAGGAGAACAUUACAAUUCUGUACAAAUUCUGACAGAUGCUGCUACAGAAAAUGGCAGCUAGCAUACAACAUUCAGAAAUCCACACGGAUAACAGUUGCUUCUUGAUAUGUUGGGCUACAGACAAUUCCUAGACAGACUGGAAAGUAAAACUACAUGGAACGGAUUAAAAAUGAAAAGAAGAGAUACAAAAUUUGACUAGAAAUCAGAAAUAGCUCUUGAUUUCAAACAAAACCAAACCAAAACCACACAACAGUAUUUUGAACUUGUAGGUAUUAAUCAUGUUUAGACGAUCUUCUCUGAAAUGGCAGCUGUGUAGAUCAGAAGUAUUUUUUUUUUUAAUAGAGCAUCAUCCCAUGCUGCAGUGAAAAUACAGAGUAGUAAAUGUUUGGGUUAAUCUGCAUUUCUGCUGAAGAAUUAAGUUCACCUGAAGGUUCCUGUUACGUUAUUUCUGGCAGAUCUUGAUGAUCGUGGAAGAGUUAAGGCAUUUAAAAUAAUUGAUUUUAUUUUGAUUGAUGGAACGUCCUCUACAGUGUUUCUUUAGUUUUAUCAAGAUCUAGCUUUAAUGCUGUAGUAGGGAUCCCCGUCUUUAUUUGGGCAGAGAAGAGCUGGAGGCAAAUCCAGUGUUUGAAUAUCUUGCUUGGCUGAAGGAAUUGCACAAACUUUAUUUUAAAGACUUUCAUCUAAGAUUUUUACCAAAGUUUGAGGACUUAGCUUUUUUUUUUGGGGGGGGGGGGUCGACAGUAGGAACUGAAUGCUUGCUGCUGAUCCUAGUAAUGAAUCUGUGAGAAGACCAUUGUUGGGUUUGACUAUACAUCAGAACACUGAUGCAAGUUAACUCUGCUGUUCAUCCCCCGUAGCCUUUCAUCUGUGCGUUUCUAUGAUACAGAAAUGUCAUCAACAAAAAGCUCCUCGGUGUCCUCACUUCAGGUGGUGAAACUCAUCUGAACUCAUCGUUUAUGGAUCUGCUGAUCUAAGCACUUUGUGAUCUAAAACGUGAUGUUUUAAAAUCCUCAAAACAGCUGGUUGCAUACAGGUUGAAAAAUAACCACCUUGGGUUUUGUCAGUAACUUUAAAGGUGAUCUGCAGAAGAAUUAAGUUUAUUUUGAUUGCUCAGAGACCUCAAAGGUGUGGUUUUUCUGGAUAUUUUUUUUUUUGUCUUGACUUUUUGCAUUAGAAGCAUAGAUUUUUGUCUUUAAGUCACUGUAAAUGUGACUCCAAAAUUAGCAGCGUACUGAAACCAAAGUUGCAAUGCAAUUGUUUUAUAACAAUAGAAGUGAUUUAUUUAUUUUUUAUUUUUUAAAAGCCUUAGUCAAUAACAUGAUAAUUUGUCUGCAUUUUAGUGCUGAUGAGUUGGUUGGAGAAAAGCGUUUCAUGUCAAGUUGAAACACCUUUGCCCUGGUUUGAGGAUGAUGAGCUCCCAGUGCGUGUCGUGUAGUCCUUCAGGAAAGCCAGCCAGCAGAUUGAUAUUUGUGGGACUUAGAAAUUAGAAGGAAAAAAAAAUCUGCUCUUACUUAAGAAGGAGGAGAUAAGUGUUCACUUCGUGGAUCAGAUUCUGUCUGAUUUAAAGCACUUUGAGAGAAAGGGUGGGGGAAGAGAGUCAGACCAUUAUAGUAGGGGGUUUUCGACAAGCAGAACUUGAAUUGUGACUUCGUUAGAUCGGUGCCUGCCAGGAAAACGUUCACCAGAUCAGGAGUUUUUACAUCCUUAUUUACCUGAUACAGUAUAGCAAAUAUAGCUGUAUUUAUAGCAGCUGGUUUACUGUACAAUUCGCUUUACUACCUUGAUUGUAUAAAACAAUGUUUUUAAUUUCAAACAAAAAAUUGGAUGCAACACUAUGGAAAAGGUGUUUAUUUGUAACACCGCUAUAAAUUUCACUAAAACUAUUAGUCAGAUAUACUGUUCUCUGUGUUGCUUAGAAUUGAUGUGAUAUGAAAUGCACAUGCUGCAUUUUAGAGAUACCCUGCAAAGAAAAGUUCUUCAGCUUGUUGGGUUUUCAGUCUUGUUUGAUUAACUAAGGGAGGAAAGAUGUCAGAGGUGUGGAAUGUCCGUACCACCAGUUUGCCCUGUUGAAGAUGUUUACAGUUUGUAUAAAGCAAAAUAAUGUUUUAAUAUAGUGAGUGAAAGAUCCUUGCUCGUGCCGUAUGGGACUUGCCAAAAAUGUAAUAAAUCGGUUUAUUUGUGGCGAA